AAAAAGGUUUCUCUCGAAACCAUAGCCAAGAAUAAAGGGUGGAGAAU
rfam:Chitinophagaceae bacterium IBVTCB2 contig000001, whole genome shotgun sequence.